CUGCUGCUUGCGAUACCAACGCUCCAUCUGUUACUAACUCUAGAAUUAAGCCUAUUUAGUAUCUUCGUUCAUCUCUCGUUAAUCACUUAAUUUCUUCAGGUCUGCACAGUAUGAACAUCUCUAUCUUGAUUUGUUUAAAAUCAAAUUUCAAUUUUGUCUUAGUGAAUUGCCUACUUGAUUGACAUGCAAAAUCAAAUGUGUUUUGUGUCCUUUGUCCUAAUUCACCCCAUAAACUGAGGUUCCAUGGCUUGUCUUACAAGUGAUUUUCGAAUUCCUAUUUAAGUGAAUUCAUAAUCUAGCUCCAUUCAUAAUUCAAUUGCAUUUUCACUAGAUACAAGAUAAAGUUAGGUUUUCAAAUGGAAAGUGGAGAAAACCUUUUGUAGUCUCAAUCAAUUAAGCUUUUGAUUCGUCCAACUGGCAUGUAAUGUGUCUAUGAAGGCUGAUUAACAGCUUAUAUUAUUGAUUUUGUUAUUUAAAUUUGGUGGAAUGACACACUGUAGUUGUUUUUAGGUUUUAACAGCGGGUUUAAGGAAAGAUUUUGGGGGUGAGAAUCAAUUUUUGGCGGAAUGCUAACAGUUUAGCUAAACCUUGAUUGUUGUUUCUGUAAUCUGCACUACAUCAUUUCUUAUUGCAAUGGAAUAUGACUUGCUUCCUUCUAUUAUAUUUUAGGAGCUUUCAAGCCUUCUUGUAAUAUUUCAGUUACACUUAAUGAUGUGAAAACUCGCAAACAGGUUCCUUUGAAGAAGGAAAAUGGUCAGAUAUCAAUGGUGCCUCGUUUCCAAAGUCAAGAAAGCAUUGUUGGAGUGACCCAGUGCAAGGGAAGAAGGUUGAACAUAAUGACAUUAAAAUAGAACUCCUUGGUCAAAUUGAAAUUUAUUUUGACAGAGGCAACUUCUAUGACUUUACCUCUCCUUUUCGUGAACCGGAUGUUCCUGGUGAAAUAUAUGAAAAGAAAACAUUUCCUUUUGAAUUUUCUUCAGUUGAAAUGCCUUAUGAGACAUACAAUAGUGUCAAUGUGCGACUUAGGUAAACACCAUCUUAUAUCUAAAUUCAAAUAAAAUACAAAAAUGCAUAAAACCAUGAUUAUGAUUGCAUAUAAAAUGGGUUUUAGCUACUUCUACAAUAUCAAACAUGCUACAUCCGGCUUACCAAGGUCUUCUGUCAUCAAUGCAAGUGAUGAAGCUCUAUUAUUGUAGCAAGUCGAAAAUUAUAGUCUGUUUUCUAGAGUGAAAUUGAAUUGUUGACAUCUAUGAAAAAUGUUUUCUCUUGAUCUCCAUUUAAAAGUAAAAUUAAAGCAAAAGUGUUGGUGUUAAUUUUAUGAAGGAUGUUCUUGACUCUGUUUUUGGUAAGUUUUAGGUUUAACAUAAGAACUCAAAAUCCAGCCUAUCUAUUAAUGGGAAGAAUGCUCUUUUUCUUUGGCUAUCAUUGUAUGACUCAUUUUGGAUCUUUGUAAAGAGCAUAAACAUAUAGAAAUAUGCUUUUGCAAAUAUGCUACUUACAUAUAAUCUCAAGAAGGAAAGAACAAUUUGUCAUUACAACAUUGUUCACAUAUUCAUCAAAUGAAAAAGUUCUCUUGUUAUGCUUUAAGUUACUACCCUUCAAAUGAUUCUGGUAUAUAUUUGUUCUUUUAAAUCAGUUUAUGUUCUUUCUCUUUCUUUUUCUUUUUACUGUAAUAUUAUGGUUUUAAGUUGUAAGUGUCUAUUCACAUAAAUAAGUUGCAAGCUCUGAACUGGAGAGUGGUGUUGUUAAUGUUGUACAUGGUAAUCGAAUGAUUUCAUUCCUUUAACCAUGCCAAACAUGAUAACUGAAUGUAAUCACUCAUUCUAUUCCCUUGUUGUCUAUUCCAUUCCAUCAUUUUCUCAACUAUGGCCAUUUCAUACACCUUUAAACUCUUUGCAAGGUAAGGCCGGAAUGGAAAGAAUAGGCUUAAAGAUUUCAAAUAUUCUUUUAUAUCUCGAGGUAACAUCAACUUUUCAAUUUACUAAACUACCCUUGAUACAAUUAUAGCAUUGUACUUCCAGUUUUUAUCUUAUCAAGACCAUAUACCUUGAAAUUACUACAUAAACUUGCUUUGUAUUGCUAUAAAUUGGUAGAUUUCAUUAAAGUGGGAUAUGCUAUAAUAAACAAAUCAUUGCUAUUUCUUACAAUUAACCAUUUCUAAUAUCAUUCUUGUAGACUGGGAUAGCUGAAUAUUUUCCAGUUUAGACGAGAUGAGUGAGAUACUUAUUUACUUUUUGGUUAAUAAUUUUCUUUCUCUUCUAUUUCAAUUUACUAAUUUUGUUAUAGCAUUGUAAAUCCUAUGAACUUCCUUACUUGUUUAUUAUAGCAUCUUACUUUCAUUCAUUUCUAUUUACAAUAUUACAGGUCUGAACUUAGCAGUGAGAAGCAGGCCACCAGCAAAUCCAACACUGCCAACUCCAAGAAUCAUAGUCUCAUAUAGCUUAAUGCUUUUGGUAAUCAAGUUGCUAGAAGAUUUAACAGUUGUCUUGCUGAAGAUUCUAAAGAGGAGGCAGUCUGCAAAAAUAUUUAUAAAUCUUGUAUAGAUAAUGUGAUUGUUUUCUCAUUGUUUAGGUUUUCACUUGAAACUACUGAUUUCACAGAUGUUCAAUAUGAUGUGUUUUUGCAAUCAAAUUGAACUGUGUGAAUUUGUUUAAAUUUGAGAACAUUUAUGUUUA